CUCGUUGUAUAUAUAUAUCUAUAAAAAUAACCCACGUACAUGUUACAAGAAUCUAAAGCUAAUACAUUAUUAAAUAAUACAAUUUCUUUUCAUUUUAAAGAUACAUAUCAUAGUUUUUACAAAAUAUGAUCAUGGAGAAUUAAGCCGUUCUGAAUGUCUGAAAAAACAAUCUUGUGUGUGUGUAGAUCCUGUGUGUGUAGAUCCUGUGUGUGUAGAUCCUGUGUGUGUAGAUCCUGUGUGUAGAUCCUGUGUGUGUAGAUCCUGUGUGUGCAGAUCCUGUGUGUAGAUCCUAUGUGUGUAGAUCCUGUGUGUGUAGAUCCUGUGUGUAGAUCCUGUGUGUGUGUAGAUCCUGUGUGUAGAUCCUGUGUGUGUAGAUCCUGUGUGUAGAUCCUGUGUGUGUAGAUCCUGUGUGUAGAUCCUGUGUGUGUGUAGAUCCUGUGUGUGUAGAUCCUGUGUGUAGAUCCUGUGUGUAGAUCCUAUGUGUGUAGAUCCUGUGUGUGUAGAUCCUGUGUGUGUAGAUCCUGUGUGUAGAUCAUAUGUGUGUAGAUCCUGUGUGUGUAGAUCCUAUGUGUGUAGAUCCUGUGUGUGUAGAUCCUGUGUGUGUAGAUCCUGUGUGUGUGUAGAUCCUGUGUGUGUGUAGAUCCUGUGUGUGUAGAUCCUAUGUGUGUAGAUCCUGUGUGUGUAGAUCCUGUGUGUGUAGAUCCUAUGUGUGUAGAUCCUGUGUGUGUAGAUCCUGUGUGUGUGUGUGUAGAUCCUGUGUGUGUGUGUAGAUCAUGUGUGUGUAGAUCAUGUGUGUGUGUGUCUAGAUCCUGUGUGUGUAUCCUGUGUGUGUGUGUAGAUCCUGUGUGUGUGUGUAGAUCCUGUGUGUGUGUAGAUCCUGUGUGUGUAGAUCCUAUGUGUGUAGAUCCUGUGUGUGUAGAUCCUGUGUGUGUAGAUCCUAUGUGUGUAGAUCCUAUGUGUGUAGAUCCUGUGUGUGUAGAUCCUGUGUGUGUAGAUCCUGUGUGUGUAGAUCCUGUGUGUAGAUCCUAUGUGUGUAGAUCCUGUGUGUGUAGAUCCUGUGUGUGUAGAUCCUGUGUGUGUGUGUAGAUCCUGUGUGUGUGUGUCUAGAUCCUGUGUGUGUGUGUGUGUGUGUGUGUGUGUAGAUCCUAUGUGUGUGUGUAGUUCCUAUGUGUGUGUGUAGUUCCUGUGUGUGUGUAGUUACGGUGUGUGUGUGUAGAUACUGUGUGUGUGUGUAGUUCCUAUGUGUGUGUGUAGAUCCUGUGUGUGUGUGUAGAUCCUGUGUGUGUGUAGAUCCUGUGUGUGUGUAGAUCCUGUGUGUGUGUGUAGACCCUGUGUGUGUGUGUAGUUCCUAUGUGUGUGUGUAGUUCCUAUGUGUGUGUGUAGAUCCUGUGUGUGUGUAGAUCCUGUGUGUGUGUGUGUAGAUCCUGUGUGUGUGUAGAUCCUGUGUGUGUGUGUGUGUAGAUCCUGUGUGUGUGUGUGUGUAGAUCCUGUGUGUGUGUAGAUCCUGUGUGUGUGUGUAGAUCCUGUGUGUGUGUGUGUGUAGAUCCUAUGUGUGUGUGUAGUUCCUAUGUGUGUGUGUAGAUCCUGUGUGUGUGUGUAGAUCCUGUGUGUGUGUGUGUGUGUGUAGAUCCUAUGUGUGUGUGUAGUUCCUAUGUGUGUGUGUAGAUCCUGUGUGUGUGUGUAGAUCCUGUGUGUGUGUGUAGAUCCUGUGUGUGUGUAGAUCCUGUGUGUGUGUGUAGAUCCUGUGUGUGUGUAGAUCCUGUGUGUGUGUGUAGAUCCUGUGUGUGUGUGUGUAGAUCCUAUGUGUGUGUGUAGUUCCUAUGUGUGUGUGUAGAUCCUGUGUGUGUGUGUAGAUCCUGUGUGUGUGUGUGUGUAGAUCCUAUGUGUGUGUGUAGUUCCUAUGUGUGUGUGUAGAUCCUGUGUGUGUGUGUAGAUCCUGUGUGUGUAUUUUAUUAUUCAAUAUUAAACAUGUAAUAAUGCACAACAGUAUUCCUUGUAAUAAUAUGAACUUGUGAUAUUGGCUAUUAAAAUGUAAACUGCAAAAACACAUUUUGAAAAGUCAAUGGAACUAUAAAUUAAUCUCAUCUUUCUACAAAUGUUAUAGUCCACCUGCCAGAGGACUGAGGGCCUAAUCGAGAGCUUGUCUUUCUACAGAGUAUAUAGUCCACCUGCCAGAGGACUGAGGACCU
ensembl:lncRNA